AGCUGGUAUAUCGGAACCAAAU
rnacentral:miRNA from 14 species